UACGAAGGGGGCUAGCGUUGCUCGGAAUCACUGGGCGUAAAGGGUGCGUAGGCGGGUCUUUAAGUCAGGGGUGAAAUCCUGGAGCUCAACUCCAGAACUGCCUUUGAUACUGAAGAUCUUGAGUUCGGGAGAGGUGAGUGGAACUGCGAGUGUAGAGGUGAAAUUCGUAGAUAUUCGCAAGAACACCAGUGGCGAAGGCGGCUCACGGGCCCGAUACUGACGCUGAGGCACGAAAGCGUGGGGAGCAAACAGG
rnacentral:rRNA from 1 species